UAGCCAGACUCCUACGGGAGGCAGCAGUGAGGAAUAUUGGUCAAUGGGCGGGAGCCUGAACCAGCCAAGUCGCGUGAGGGAAGACGGUCCUAUGGAUUGUAAACCUCUUUAGGCGGGGAGCAAUGCCGGGCACGCGUGUCCGGAGGGAGAGUACCCGCAGAAUAAGCAUCGGCUAACUCCGUGCCAGCAGCCGCGGUAAUACGGAGGCUGCGAGCGUUAUCCGGAUUUAUUGGGUUUAAAGGGUGCGUAGGCGGAUUUUUAAGUCAGCGGUAAAAUGUCCGGGCUCAACCCGGGCCGGCCGUUGAAACUGGGGAUCUUGAGUGGGCGAGAAGUAUGCGGAAUGCGUGGUGUAGCGGUGAAAUGCAUAGAUAUCACGCAGAACUCCGAUUGCGAAGGCAGCUUACUAAACUAUAACUGACACUGAAGCACGAAAGCGUGGGGAUCAAACAGGAUUAGAUACCCUCGUA
rnacentral:rRNA from 1 species